rnacentral:rRNA from 1 species
CCUACGGGAGGCAGCAGUGAGGAAUAUUGGUCAAUGGGCGUGAGCCUGAACCAGCCAAGUCGCGUGAAGGAUGACUGCCCUACGGGUUGUAAACCUCUUUUAUAAAGGAAUAAAGUGAGGCACGUGUGCCGUUUUGUAUGUACUUUAUGAAUAAGGAUCGGCUAACUCCGUGCCAGCAGCCGCGGUAAUACGGAGGAUCCGAGCGUUAUCCGGAUUUAUUGGGUUUAAAGGGAGCGUAGAUGGGUUUUUAAGUCAGUUGUGAAAGUUUGCGGCUCAACCGUAAAAUUGCAGUUGAUACUGGCAGUCUUGAGUACGGUUGAGGCAGGCGGAAUUCGUGGUGUAGCGGUGAAAUGCUUAGAUAUCACGAAGAACUCCGAUUGCGAAGGCAGCUUGCUAAGCUACGACUGACGUUGAUGCUCGAAAGUGUGGGGAUCAAACAGGAUUAGAUACCCUUGUAGUC